CAAGAAACGAGGCCGCGUGCGCUCGCCCGCCCGGCCCCGCUCCUUACCUUGCCUACUGCACCGUUUGUUGCUUCCUGGCGGCGGACUGCCUGCCGCCAGGGACGUUGAUACAAUCCUGUAUAGAAGCAUUGAAGCUCUGAGAAAACGCGAAAUCGUA
rnacentral:misc_RNA from 1 species